rnacentral:rRNA from 1 species
GAUGAACGCUGGCGGCGUGCCUAAUACAUGCAAGUCGAGCGAACAGACGAGGAUCUUGCUCCUCUGACGUUAGCGGCGGACGGGUGAGUAACACGUGUAUAACCUACCUAUAAGACUGGGAUAACUUCGGGAAACCGGAUCUAACACCGGAUAAUAUAUUGAACCGCAUGGUUCAAUAGUGAAAGACGGUUUUGCUGUCACUUAUAGAUGGAUCCGCGCCGCAUUAGCUAGUUGGUAAGGUAACGGCUUACCAAGGCGACGAUGCGUAGCCGACCUGAGAGGGUGAUCGGCCACACUGGAACUGAGACACGGUCCAGACUCCUACGGGAGGCAGCAGUAGGGAAUAUUCCGCAAUGGGCGAAAGCCUGACGGAGCAACGCCGCGUGUGUGAUGAAGGUCUUCGGAUCGUAAAACUCUGUUAUUAGGGAAGAACAAAUGUGUAAGUAACUCUGCACGUCUUGACGGUACCAACUCAGAAAGCCACGGCUAACUACGUG